rfam:Gossypium hirsutum cultivar TM-1 chromosome 19, whole genome shotgun sequence
AAACCAUACAUCAGGCAUUUUCUUAGUAACUCCUUGAAUCGCUCCCAUGCUUUAUAUAAUGUUUCAUCCUCUGAUGUCUAAACGAUGUAAUAUCAUUCCUUAACUU